rnacentral:rRNA from 1 species
GGCUCAGAUUGAACGCUGGCGGCAUGCCUUACACAUGCAAGUCGAACGGCAGCACGGGAGCAAUCCUGGUGGCGAGUGGCGAACGGGUGAGUAAUACAUCGGAACGUGUCCUGUAGUGGGGGAUAGCCCGGCGAAAGCCGGAUUAAUACCGCAUACGCUCUACGGAGGAAAGGGGGGGAUCUUAGGACCUCCCGCUACAGGGGCGGCCGAUGGCAGAUUAGCUAGUUGGUGGGGUAAAGGCCUACCAAGGCGACGAUCUGUAGCUGGUCUGAGAGGACGACCAGCCACACUGGGACUGAGACACGGCCCAGACUCCUACGGGAGGCAGCAGUGGGGAAUUUUGGACAAUGGGGGAAACCCUGAUCCAGCAAUGCCGCGUGUGUGAAGAAGGCCUUCGGGUUGUAAAGCACUUUUGUCCGGAAAGAAAACCUCUGCCCUAAUACGGUGGGGGGAUGACGGUACCGGAAGAAUAAGCACCGGCUAACUACGUGCCAGCAGCCGCGGUAAUACGUAGGGUGCAAGCGUUAAUCGGAAUUACUGGGCGUAAAGCGUGCGCAGGCGGUUCGUUAAGACAGAUGUGAAAUCCCCGGGCUUAACCUGGGAACUGCAUUUGUGACUGGCGGGCUAGAGUAUGGCAGAGGGGGGUAGAAUUCCACGUGUAGCAGUGAAAUGCGUAGAGAUGUGGAGGAAUACCGAUGGCGAAGGCAGCCCCCUGGGCCAAUACUGACGCUCAUGCACGAAAGCGUGGGGAGCAAACAGGAUUAGAUACCCUGGUAGUCCACGCCCUAAACGAUGUCAACUAGUUGUCGGGUCUUCAUUGACUUGGUAACGAAGCUAACGCGUGAAGUUGACCGCCUGGGGAGUACGGUCGCAAGAU